rnacentral:rRNA from 1 species
GACGAACGCUGGCGGCGUGCUUAACACAUGCAAGUCGAACGGAAAGGCCCUGCUUUUGUGGGGUGCUCGAGUGGCGAACGGGUGAGUAACACGUGAGUAACCUGCCCUUGACUUUGGGAUAACUUCAGGAAACUGGGGCUAAUACCGGAUAGGAGCUCCUGCUGCAUGGUGGGGGUUGGAAAGUUUCGGCGGUUGGGGAUGGACUCGCGGCUUAUCAGCUUGUUGGUGGGGUAGUGGCUUACCAAGGCUUUGACGGGUAGCCGGCCUGAGAGGGUGACCGGCCACAUUGGGACUGAGAUACGGCCCAGACUCCUUCGGGAGGCAGCAGUGGGGAAUAUUGCACAAUGGGCGGAAGCCGGAUGCAGCAACCCCGCGUGCGGGAGGACGGCCUUCGGGUGGUAAACCGCUUUCGCCUGUGACGAAGCGUGAGUGACGGUAAUGGGUAAAGAAGCACCGGCUAACUACGU